rnacentral:rRNA from 1 species
GACGAACGCUGGCGGCGUGCUUAACACAUGCAAGUCGAACGAAGAGCGACGGAAGCUUGCUUCUAUCAAUCUUAGUGGCGAACGGGUGAGUAACGCGUAAUCAACCUGCCCUUCAGAGGGGGACAACAGUUGGAAACGACUGCUAAUACCGCAUACGAUCUAAUCUCGGCAUCGAGGAUAGAUGAAAGGUGGCCUCUACAUGUAAGCUAUCACUGAAGGAGGGGAUUGCGUCUGAUUAGCUAGUUGGAGGGGUAAUGGCCCACCAAGGCGAUGAUCAGUAGCCGGUCUGAGAGGAUGAACGGCCACAUUGGGACUGAGACACGGCCCAGACUCCUACGGGAGGCAGCAGUGGGGAAUCUUCCGCAAUGGACGAAAGUCUGACGGAGCAACGCCGCGUGAGUGAUGACGGCCUUCGGGGUUGUAAAAGCUCUGUUAAAUUGGGACGAAAAGG